UGAUGAAUGAAUGGCAAUGUAGCAUAGGUGAGGUGGCAAGGUCAUGUGUGGAUGCGGAAGCCUGAAAGUGGGACAGACAAUAGCCAUAAUAUCUGUGUCUCUCUUCCUGGUUUGCCACGUGUUCUAUUUCAUCUUGGCGUCAGCCACAUCACAGAAGAGGAGAACCCAGGUCCCAGGCUCAUCACACUCUCUCUCUCUCUGCAACUAGUAGAAUUAUAACAAUGGCUCUUAGAGCUGUGAAUGCAAAUGUAGGGUUUGACUCCUGUUGUCGUUCUACUUUUGUUUCUCCCAUGCCCUCCAAAUCUCGCAGUAGUAGAGAACAUAAUAGCUUCGUCUUUCGGUGUUCUCAAGUGUCAAUUACAGAAUCUGAGAACUCACUCAUCGAAGCACUUGUUGGCACCCAAGGGCGUGGACGAUCUUCUUCUCCCCAGCAACUCAAUGCUAUUGAGCGUGCUAUUCAAGCCCUGGAACGUUUAGGAGGGGGUGUGCCUGAUCCGACAAACUCAAGUUUAAUUGAGGGUCGCUGGCAGCUUAUUUUCACUACAAGACCCGGAACAGCAUCCCCCAUUCAGAGAACAUUUGUUGGGGUUGAUUUUUUUAGUGUAUUUCAAGAGGUUUAUCUUCAAACGAAUGAUCCACGCGUAUGCAAUAUUGUGUCAUUUUCUGAUGCCAUUGGUGAGCUCAAAGUGGAGGCGGCAGCGUCCAUUGAAGAUGGAAAAAGAAUCCUUUUUAGGUUUGACAGAGCUGCCUUUUCAUUUAAAUUUCUUCCAUUUAAAGUUCCAUAUCCAGUUCCAUUUAAGCUACUUGGAGAUGAAGCAAAGGGAUGGUUAGACACCACAUACUUGUCGCAUUCAGGAAACCUUCGCAUCUCAAGAGGAAAUAAGGGAACCACGUUUGUGCUGCAGAAGCAAACUGAACCCAGACAAAAAUUGUUAACAGCAAUUUCGUCGGGGGUGGGUAUUAAAGAGGCAAUGGAUGCACUCAUUUCCUUAAAUCGGAAAUCUGGGGAAGAAGAACCUGAACUAGAAGAGGGCGAGUGGCAGAUGAUAUGGAACUCACAGACUGUGACAGAUAGUUGGCUAGAGAAUGCUGCCAAUGGUUUGAUGGGAAAGCAGAUUAUUGGGAAGAAUGGAAGAAUAAAGUAUGUGGUUGAUAUUCUGCUUGGGCUGAAGUUCUCCAUGACUGGAAAUUUUGUAUCUUGUUUUGUCCAAAAAUUGACAGAAAAAAUGGCGCAAAAGUUUACGAGGUUACAAUGGAUGAUGCAGCCAUAAUUGGAGGUCCAUUUGGAUAUCCCUUAGAAAUGGACAAGAAGUUCAUCUUGGAGAUUCUAUUCAGCGAUGGAAAGGUCAGAAUUAGCCGGGGAGAAAAUGAAAUUAUUUUCGUACAUAUUCGCCCGGAUGCAUUGAGGUGAAGACAGUAAUUUAUCAUGGUUGUCUACGUGUACCCUUGAUAUCUCAAGGUUUUCUAGAAUCACGGCGAGCCACCUUUGAUAUCUCAAGGUUUUCAAGAUUUUUACAAACUCACCGUAAUAUCUAACAUAUUUCAAAGAAUAGUAGACGUGGUUUUGUUGACGAAGAUUUGGCUGUCAUCUAUGUAUGUUUAACCAUUCCUGUGAACCACAAAUUAUUGCUACCUAAAGGUCGAUUUUCUAGCUUCCCUUUCU